UGGGGGAUCUUGCGCUAAUGCGCGAAAGCGUGACGCAGCGACGCCGCGUGGGGGAUGAAGGCCUUCGGGUUGUAAAGCUCUGUGGGGAGAGAAGAAUAAGUUCAGGUCAAUACCCUGAAUGAUGACGGUACCUCCUUAGCAAGCACCGGCUAACUCUGUGCCAGCAGCCGCGGUAAGACAGAGGGUGCAAACGUUGUUCGGAUUUACUGGGCGUAAAGCGUGUGUAGGCGGCUUCGCAAGUUGGAUGUGAAAUCCCACGGCUCAACCGUGGACGUGCAUCCAAAACUGCGUCGCUAGAGUCUCGGAGAGGAAGGUGGAAUGCUUGGUGUAGAGGUGAAAUUCGUAGAUAUCAAGCAGAACACCUGCGGCGAAGGCGGCCUUCUGGACGAUGACUGACGCUGAGACACGAAAGCGUGGGGAGCAAA
rnacentral:rRNA from 1 species